rnacentral:rRNA from 1 species
UACGGAGGGUGCAAGCGUUAUCCGGAAUGAUUGGGCGUAAAGCGUCCGCAGGUGGCUGUGUAAGUCUGCUGUUAAAGAGUCUAGCUCAACUAGAUAAAAGCAGUGGAAACUACACGGCUAGAGUACGUUCGGGGCAGAGGGAAUUCCUGGUGUAGCGGUGAAAUGCGUAGAGAUCAGGAAGAACACCGGUGGCGAAGGCGCUCUGCUAGGCCGUAACUGACACUGAGGGACGAAAGCUAGGGGAGCGAAUGGG